UACGUAGGGUGCGAGCGUUGUCCGGAAUUAUUGGGCGUAAAGAGCUCGUAGGCGGUCUGUCGCGUCGAUCGUGAAAACUUGGGGCUUAACCCUGAGCUUGCGGUCGAUACGGGCAUGACUGGAGUUCGGCAGGGGAGACUGGAAUUCCUGGUGUAGCGGUGAAAUGCGCAGAUAUCAGGAGGAACACCGAUGGCGAAGGCAGGUCUCUGGGCACUUACUGACGCUGAGGAGCGAAAGCGUGGGGAGCGAACAGG
rnacentral:rRNA from 1 species